GUGCGGCAAGAAUGAUGACAAAAUUAGAUGUGUGAAUGGAAAAAUCCUUGAGCUGAAACAUCGAGGCUUAUUGAUAUUCUGACCUUGCCACCG